rnacentral:lncRNA from 1 species
UAACAUUUAUCAGAGCAUUUUCUUGUCACAGGCUAAGUCUCUUCAUCUCCAACAUGGAACUCAUCAUAUGUUGGCUCACCUAGAACAAAAUGAUAAUCAGCCCAAACACAAACACACACCAGGAGUAAAUUAUCACAUUUCUAAAUAAAAUACGGAUAAAUAAAAACAUAAGCAAAAUACAUUAUACAAUUAUUUAUAACAUAACUCAACUUAAUUCACUCCACGUUACUUCACCACUUUAUCAUUUAAAAUUCAUAUUUCAAUCACCAAUCACAUUACACAUGAAUCACACGCUUGAGUCAAAACGUAACAACACUCAUCAAUUUCAUAAUAAAAAAUUCACAGGCGUAAUGCAACAAUUAUACUAAGACUCAAGCCUAUAUGCAAUGCGGUAUCAUGUCAAUGAAAAACUACACUAGGGCGCUUAGGAGUACAUAACAAGACACACCACACAAUGGGUAUGUCAGGUCACUCUCACUAAGUAAAAUCAUAAGGUAACCAGUCAGGGCCACUCUAUUUUGUAAGAAUGCUCCAACCAUAUGGGAUUAACAUAGGCUUAAAAGAGCACUCAAACUGAGUGUUCCCCCCCCCCCCCCCCAAGACCUACAUUAUGAAGAAUUCAUUAGGAUCUUACCUUCCUAAUUCAGGUCCAACCCUUAAAAACAAUUUUUGCACGCAAACAUUGUUCAUGAAUUAUACAAUAUCCACGACCUCACACUUAUGUUUCAAACACAUUUAACACAUUGUAUUACAAUUUAAGACUUUAGGUUCCUAACUUGGAACCCUACAUUUUUCUUUUAACACUUCGUGCAUAAACAUUUUUUUUCAAGAAAAAUAGCAGUCGGGUUAUUGUAUAAUUCACAACUCACAACAUAAGUAAUAUCACAUCAAGUAUCAAUCACACAGUUAUUCACAACCAUAUCUUAUAUCUACAAUAUAACAUCUCACAAUUUAACUAACUACAAAAUAUACUUAACAAAUAGAUAAACAUGUAUAAUAUAAAUAAUAAAACACAUCUAACUUCAAGACUUACAAAUAUAUUUACAUAUAUCAAAUAUAUAUAACACACCACUAUACAAUUACAUGUAAUACUAUAUAUAUAUAUAAUAACAACAAUAAUAAACAUAUCAUUAGAUAAAUAUUAUAUAUAUAUAUAUAUAAGUACAUAAAAAUAAUUAAGCACAUUAAAUAUAUAUCUAAGUAAUUAAAUAUAUCAUAAACAUUAAUAUAUAUAUAUAUAUAUAUAUAUAUAUAUAUAUAUAUAUAUAAAACUAAUUAACGUACUAAAAACAUUAACAUAAAUAUAUUAAAAUAUUAACAUGAACAUACAUUAACAUAAAUUUAUUAAAAUAUUAAUGUAAACUUAAUAUAUAUAUAUAUAUAUAUAUAUAUAUAUAUAUAUAUAUAUAUGAAAUGGUAUUAUAUAAAAACAUAUUGCAUAGUCUGUGAAUGUUUAAUGUUUUGAAUAAAAAUUAUAAAUAUUUUUUGUGUAGAGAAAAUAUAUAUGAAUAUAAUUGCAAAGAACAUAAAGAUAUAAAAAAUAAUUGUUUAAGAGAAACUCUAUCAAUUUAUAACAAUUUCACAUCGAGACAUCAAUGGGUAUGUUAAACAUAGUCAAUUUGCGAAUAAAAACACAAGAACAAAAUUCAAUUUCAUAAAAUAAUCCAAAAUAAACCUAAAAGUAACACUAUUACAAAAAGGUUUUUUAAGGACACUUAAAAAGAUCUUUUCACAAUGAUUUUAAAUCGUCGUUGUAUGCAACAUCGUUAAAAACAAAACAUUUUUUAUGACGAUUCAAAAUUAACAGACAUAUAGAAAGUAAAAAUUUUCUAAGACGAUUAUUAGUACUUUUUAAGACGGUUAUUAUUAAUAAUCGUCUUAGAAAGUUAUGUCCGAUAUACUUUUUAAGACGAUUAUUUUGUCUUAGAAAGUAUUUUUUUUUUAAAGACAGUUCUUGCCAAUUAACCGUCUUAGAAAGUCCAAACUAAAUGGCAAUUAAUAUGCUAUAAGGAUAUGAUGUUGAAAACAAAUUAUUUGCUCUUAACUAAGAAGCAAGAACAAAGCAAGACACACACAAGUAUAACACUAUCAAUAAGUAUAUAAAUGCUUGAAUUCUUAAGUAUAUAAAUGCUUGAAUUCUUGCUAGCUUCCUGGAAUUAUAACAUGCAUUCAUCAAACCAAAGCACCAAAAUGCAUAACUUAAAAGAAAUUUAACAUACAUAAGAAGAGUGUAUUUUAUACGUGAUAACUCCCAUUUAAUUCCAGUAUGAAACGGAAUAUACAGUAAUGAACAAAAUUGGUAACGUAUCCUUUCAUUAGAUUUAAAUUACUAUUAUUCUACAUCUUUUUUUUCAUAGUUCAAACAUAGUACAAAUUAUGAUUUUUUAUUAUUAAUUUAAUUUCAUCAAGUCUCAUUAAAAUUAUUAAAAUAAGUAUCGUAUUUAAAAAAUAAUUUUAUCUUAAAAUAACUCUCGUGUUGGGUAGUUUUUCAAUAUAAUAUUAAUUAUUUUUUUAUUAAUAUUUUUAACAAGUGUUAUUUAAGUUUUUCAAUAUAAUAUUAAUGUUAUCAUUACCUAUAAAUUUGCAAAAUUAUCAUUAUCUUUCUUUUUAUUAGUUUUUAAAAUAACGUAUUUUUUUAUAUUCCUAUUGUACAUGAUUAAAACUCUUUCAUGGAAUUGGUUUGUCUAAAGGAGGAGAGAGGUAAUGUUUUACUUUAUUAGACUAGCUAGUAAGUAUCUUUUCUAAUAAAUUUUAUUUAGCUUAUAAAAAAAUUCAAACUUAAUUGUAUUGCUUAUUCAAGGCGAAUAUUUUUACAUAUAUACUUAUCCUGGAGUCUAAUUAGCAUAUAGCAAUUAUGCAAGGUUAGGACAAAUGUGAAAAAAUGAGGAUGCAUACAUAUGCAAAGCAGUUGCAUUAUUUAAAUAUAAAAAAUUUAAUAUGCUGCAUAAUUUAUAUCAUAUAUAAUUAUCUUUAUUUUUCUUUUUUUUGUUUGCAUUUAUCUUAAAGUUUCUCUCUCAAAUUUGAAGGAACGCAUUUUUAUUGUCCCAUUUUUAUGUUUGUAAACAUUUUCCUUUGCUAACUUUUUUUAUAUAUUGAAGUUAAAUAUAAAUAAAUAUAAUCAAUUUUGUUAUAUUUAAUGUUAUCAUUUAUCAAAUAUUUUUAUUUAAUUUUAAUUUUAUUUUCAGUGACUAUUUAUUUAUUUAUAUAUGAUAGUAAGUUUUAAUGUAAAAUAUUUUAGAAUUCAUCUUAUUUUUUAGUUGAGAUUAAUAGUAAGCUUACAUACACAAGCACAUCAUUCAGUCAAUAAGGGCCAGUAUAAAAAUUUGAGUGAAAAAUAAAGUAGCCAACACCCAACCACAGUAAGAGCAAGUAUUAAGGCAUCAUAGAGGCAAAAACCUUUGUAGACUGGUCAUCAGCAAAAUCUCUAAAAGCAGUCACCACUAAGCUUGGACCGUCCAUGAGCUCGCAAUGAUGGAUGUUCUGGACUCACUGCACAACCAGAAAUAUUUGAAUCUUAAAGAAGACAGCAUAAUUUAAUAUUCUAAGAUAGUUUAUCAUGUAGAAUUCAGAGAUCAUUUAGGUACAAAAGAAUUAAGAAAUUAAUUUACAAUUCAAAUGUUAAUUUAUAAAUUAAUUAGAUGCAGUUGUCAGAUCAGGACCACUCUGCACAAGCAAGUUAAUAAAUAACACAAAUCAACAACAUGCAUAUCAAAUCUAUAUCUAAAUGCAUACAACUAAGUAAUUAAUUUAUAAUUCCAAUAUAAAUUUUUCUACCAAGAUUAAGGAAUUAACUCUCAAAUCAAAUAUCCAAGUAAUACCAAGAAUUCCAUAAUUAGAAAGACACUGAAAGAACACAAGAGAAACUGGGUCCAAACCUUCUCCAAAUCAGAUGAUUCAAAUGUGACAAUGGC